UCCGUGUUCUGCAGCGUGAGCCCUUCGACCCUCAUUCCUCACACACACACAAAUGUGUUUCUAACCAUCCGCCUCGUGUUUGUCACUCUCACCUCACUUUGAUGUAGUUUAUGAAAAUUGACUUUACAAGGGUCGUGUUUUAUGUUCCUCCUUUAUUGGCUAGGCUAGCAUCCGCCGCCGUGCCAUUGUGUGUGUGUGUGUGUGUCAGAUAGACAAGUAUCUGAUUAAUAGCUCUCUUGGUCUCUGGCUGGCUCAUUUUUCAGCACUGUUGUUUAAGACCUGUGGCUCUUCUCUUGGUGAGAUGUAGAUGCGUUUCCCCUUGCUGUUUAUUGAUAUUCUGUUUCCCUAAAUACGGACCUAUUUGUCUCCGCUGUCUCCCCUCCGCCCCAGCCGUACACCGGACCUGAGAGGAUGGGCGGAUCAGGGAGGAGGCGGAGAGGGGCAGAAAAGGAAAACUAUCCGUGAUUGAUAGGCAAUCUCAAUGCCUGUGGCGUCUGGAGAAUCACCAAGGUGACGAAGCAGAUGAAGAGCACAGAGCUUGUGGUGGCCCUGUCUCCAGUGCACAUCUGAACUGCUAAUUCUGUUCUUCACCGUUAUAGUAUUUCGGGGACAUCUUGCAUUCUGUAACCCAAAAGAAAAACCCCAGUUUCAGUGGAAUUCACCCUAAUUAAGGCUUGAACUCCUGAUGUGAUGUGAAAACAAAUGGCACCCAUAGAUGCCUGGCUAAUAAAUCUAGACAAUACCAGACAAUUUGGUUGGUGUGAGAUGAACCCCAAAAGUAAAAUUUACUUUCACUUGUGCUGAAUGGUGAUGAGUUGGUCUGAAUAUUCAGCUGAAAUGGAGUUCUGACGUGAAAGAGAUAAGGCCCGUCAUCCAAAGUUACGCACUUGGUAUUGUU
ensembl:lncRNA